CACACACAAAGCACACACAAAGCACAACAGAAAAAACAUAUUUCUCUUCCUAUGUCACAACUGCACUGCAAGUUUGGCUUUUUUUUUCAAUGGUUAAGACAAUGUGAUUCCUAUAGUCGAGUUUCUGAAUCAUUUGUGGGCCAUGAACUGGAUCUCACUUGGCUAUAGGACCGUGGCUCGUUUCAAAACCUCUACCACAACGCUGUCACCUGGUAUUCCGUUGAGAAAAUAUGUCUCUGUUACUUUACAUGGGAGAGAUAACCAUGAUUUAUAAAGCAGACAAACUUCCCAGCCAGUGAGAGUUAUAUAAAUAUGAGCGUGGGCUGAUGGUGGUGUAUGGGCAAAUGGAAAUUGACUUGGGUCCAGCGGAAUGGCAAUAAAGUAUGAAUAAAUGGAUUGUGGGGGAAGAGGGAGAGACUAGCUGAGAGAGCCGAUGGCAGCCAUUUUGUGUCUGGCCCGUGGCCCAUGGUGCCAUCUUACAAAUGACUGCAUUAACAGAGCCAAUUAAAGUGGCAAUCAUUUAAUGGCCACCUACGCAGCCGUGCGAGACUGGGACUUUCAUCACGUCAAUCGGCCGUAAGGCAGUAAUAUUCAGUUAGAGCAAUCUGGCCAGUGGACCGACUCAGCUCUGCUCUACUCUCAAUAAAACAUGCCACCACUCAGCACUGACUGGGUAUUAGGAACAACAGCUUUAGGAGGAGAGGAGUUAUUCUUUUGAAAAUAAAUACACUGAAUCGCUUUAAUUUAAUGGCAGCUAUCAAUAGUAGUUCUUUGUAGUUAAUUGUACAAAAAAGUUUGUAAUAAAAAAAAAGAGAAUAAAUGUUUUAUUUUCCACCAAUUUUUCUAAAUGUAUUUUGGUUUUUAUAAACUAAGGAACACAUGCUUUCCAGGACAGGUUUCACUCCCUUCACCUGAAAUGAAGGGGACAUGAAGAUGCAGACAGAGUGAUGGGGGACAUAAACUAAGGAACACAUGAAGGUGCAGACAGAGUGAUGGGGGACAUGAAGAAGCAGACAGAGUGAUGGGGGACAUGAAGAUGCAGACAGAGUGAUGGGGGACAUGAAGAUGCAGACAGAGUGAUGGGGGACAUGAAGAAGCAGACAGAGUGAUGGGGGACAUGAAGAUGCAGACAGAGUGAUGGGGGACAUGAAGAUGCAGACAGAGUGAUGGGGGACAUGAAGGUGCAGAUGGAGUGAUGGGGACAUGAAGGUGCAGAUGGAAGGAUGGGGACAUGAAGGUGCAGAAAGACUGAUGGGUAGAAAGAAGAAAAGAAUUGCAUUUUAUCGACCAAUGUCCUUCCCCAUCUAUCCUCUGCAGUCAUACUACCCAGAAUGCUUUCGGCUCCAAGCGCUCUUUGAGUUUUAGGAGCAUCGUAAAGUGGAACAGAGCUAGAGUCGUUUAAAAUUGGGCUUGUCUACUUCAAAACAUAAAUAUAACAACAAAAAGCAACAAAAAUGCAAAACAACAUAAAAAUAAAACAAUUUCUCGGGGACCUGAUUCUCAUCCUCUAGGUUAUUUGGACACAUUGUAUACACACAUACAUAUUGUAGACCAACAAUACACUUCACAUGGUCAUCUGACCAAAGACACAUAGAAUCACAAGAUAAGCCAGUUGCGUCUAUACCGGCACCUUUUCCCUACACAGUGCACUACUUUAGACCAGGGCCCAUAGGGAAUAGGGUGCAUUACUUUAGACCAGGGACCAUAGGGAAUAGGGUGCUUUAGACCAGGGCCCAUAGGGAAUAGGGUGCACUACUUUAGACCAGGGCCCAUAGGGAAUAGGGUGCACUACUUUAGACCAGGACCCAUAGGGAAUAGGGUGCACUACUUUAGACCAGGGCCCAUAGGGAAUAGGGUGCAUUACUUUAGACCAGGGCCCAUAGGGAUUAGGGUGCUUUAGACCAGGGCCCAUAGGGAAUAGGGUGCACUACUUUAGACCAGGACCCAUAGGGAAUAGGGUGCACUACUUUAGACCAGGGCCCAUAGGGAAUAGGGUGCUUUA
ensembl:lncRNA